CUGUACCUAAUAUUGCGCUUAUCGUGCGCUGCGACAAUCGUGAGCUCGCCCGAGCAUGUGUGAUGAUACGAUUUGCUUCUAUUAGCUGACUUAGAAUCUAUCGGAAAAAUCCUACUUUGUAAUUGGCCAGUAUUUGAUACUCGAUCAAACGUUUACGUUUCUUGAAGUGACGUGUAUUGAUUUGUUUCUAUAGUUAAGUUUGAAUUGAUAGGAAAAACAUACCUUGUAAGGAGGAACGAUAUGGUCGAGCGUUCAAAGUGACAGAAUCCGAUAUGUGGGAUGAGGUGAUUGAGGGCAUCAAUGGCGGGAGCGAACAUUUCAAAUAAUUAAAGUCUUCUUCAAAACGUGAAGACCACGGGAGCGCUCCUCUGAAGAAUAGUGUCCUCAUAAUUAACAAACCACAUUUCUAGGUAACGUUCCGUUUUAUUAAAUAAAGUCCAAUAAGCAAUUGCGAUUAAACUUUGAAAUUAAUCGAUUCCCGAAAUUUUAUAUUAUAAUGUUUUUUAAUGUCUAAUUUACCGAUUAUUUUUUUUUAUAGUAUAGGAUGGCGGACGAGCAUAUGGGCCACCUGAUGGUAAGUGGUCACCAACGCUCAUAGACGUUGGCAUUGUAAUAAAUAUUAAGCAUUGCUUACAUCACCAUUACACCACCAACCUUGGGAACUAAUAUGUUUUGUCCCUUGUGCCUGUAAUUACAUUGGCUCACUCACCCUUCAAACCGGAACACAACAGUACCAAGUACUGCUGUUUUGCGGUAGAAUAUCUGAUAAGUGUGUGUACCUACCCAGACGAGCUUGCACAAAGCUCUACCACCAGUACCAGUAGAUCAAAUAAAUAAUUACACAAGAUAGAAAAACUUACCACUUUAAUACAUAAAAUUUAAUCUAGAUUUUGUGAUAUCUUAAAAAAAUAUGUAAUUUCAAUUGCGCAGCAAAAAUAAACUUAUAUUAUACAUAAAUAAAUUAAUAUAUUGAA